rnacentral:misc_RNA from 1 species
GGUUUAAUUACUCAAGUUUGAG